CCUACGGGAGGCAGCAGUAGGGAAUAUUGCACAAUGGGGGAAACCCUGAUGCAGCAACGCCGCGUGAGUGAUGAAGUAUUUCGGUUUGUAAACUCCUAUUGUCAGAGAAGAUAAUGACGGUAUCUGACGAAUAAGCACCGGCUAACUCCGUGCCAGCAGCCGCGGUAAUACGGAGGGUGCAAGCGUUACUCGGAAUUACUGGGCGUAAAGAGCGCGUAGGCGGGAUAGCAAGUCAGAUGUGAAAUCCUAUGGCUUAACCAUAGAACUGCAUUUGAAACUGUGAUUCUAGAGUAUGGGAGAGGUAGGCGGAAUUCUUGGUGUAGGGGUAAAAUGCGUAGAGAUUAAGAGGAAUACUCGUGGCGAAGGCGACCUGCUAGAACAUAACUGACGUUGAGGCGCGAAAGCGUGGGGAGCAAACAGGAUUAGAUACCCGAGUAGUC
rnacentral:rRNA from 1 species